rnacentral:rRNA from 1 species
AUUGAACGCUGGCGGCAGGCCUAACACAUGCAAGUCGAGCGAGCGGCGGACGGGUGAGUAAUGUCUGGGUAACUGCCCGAUAGAUGGGGAUAACUACUGGAAACGGUAGCUAAUACCGCAUACUAUCAGAUGAUCCCAGAUGGGAUUAGCUAUUUGUUGGGGUAACGGCUCACCAAGGCGACGAUCCAUAGCUGGUCUGAGAGGAUGAACAGCGACACUGGAACUGAGACACGGUCCAGACUCCUACGGGAGGCAGCAGUGGGGAAUAUUGCACAAUGGGCGCAAGCCUGAUGCAGCCAUGCCGCGUGUAUGAAGAAGGCCUUCGGGUUGUAAAGUACUGUCAGCGGGGAGGCGUUACCCGCAGAAGAAGCACCGGCUAACUCCGUGCCAGCAGCCGCGGUAAUUC